AACGAACGCUGGCGGCAUGCCUAACACAUGCCAGUCGAACGAGACCUUCGGGUCUAGUGGCGCACGGGUGCGUAACGCGUGGGAACCUGCCCUUAGGUUCGGAAUAACUCCCCGAAAGGGGUGCUAAUACCGGCUAAUGUCUUCGGGCCAAAGAUUUAGCGCCUGUGGAUGGGCGCGUGUUGGUUUUGCUAGUUGGUAGGGUAAAAGCCUACCACGGAGACGAUCCAUAGCUGGUCUGAGAGGAUGCUCAGCCACACUGGGACUGAGACACGGCACAGACUCCUACGGGAGGCAGGAGUGGGGAAUAUUGGAAAAUGGGCGAAAGUCUGAUCCAGCAAUGCCGCGUGAGUGAUGAAGGCCUUAGGGUUGUAAAGCUCUUUUACCCGGGAUGAUAAUGACAGUACCGGGAGAAUAAGCACCGGCUAACUCCGUG
rnacentral:rRNA from 1 species